GAGACAGCAGCCGCGGUAAUACGUAGGUGGCAAGCGUUGUCCGGAAUUAUUGGGCGUAAAGGGCUCGCAGGCGGUUUCUUAAGUCUGAUGUGAAAGCCCCCGGCUCAACCGGGGAGGGUCAUUGGAAACUGGGAAACUUGAGUGCAGAAGAGGAGAGUGGAAUUCCACGUGUAGCGGUGAAAUGCGUAGAGAUGUGGAGGAACACCAGUGGCGAAGGCGACUCUCUGGUCUGUAACUGACGCUGAGGAGCGAAAGCGUGGGGAGCGAACAGGAUUAGAGACCCGCGUAGUCCCUGUCUCUUAUACACA
rnacentral:rRNA from 1 species